AGCGAACGCUGGCGGCAGGCCUAACACAUGCAAGUCGAACGAAGUCUUCGGACUUAGUGGCGGACGGGUGAGUAACACGUGGGAACGUGCCUUUAGGUUCGGAAUAACUCAGGGAAGCUUGUGCUAGUACCGAAUGUGCCCUUCGGGGGAAAGAUUUAUCGCCUUUAGAGCGGCCCGCGUCUGAUUAGCUAGUUGGUGAGGUAAAGGCUCACCAAGGCUACGAUCAGUAGCUGGUCUGAGAGGAUGACCAGCCACAUUGGGACUGAGACACGGCCCAAACUCCUACGGGAGGCAGCAGUGGGGAAUCUUGCGCAAUGGGCGAAAGCCUGACGCAGCCAUGCCGCGUGGAUGAUGAAGGUCUUAGGAUUGUAAAAUCCCUUCACCGGUGAAAAUAAUGACUGUAGCCGGAGAAGAAGCCCCGGCUAACUUCGUGCCAGCCGCCGCGGUAAGAC
rnacentral:rRNA from 1 species